UUUUACCACCUCAGUACAGCCCUACACUACCUGACAGUAAUUGUACCUUUGUAACCGAUACAGGAUGUAUGAUAUACGAGGAAUAUCUCGUCAGUAGAUCAGUGAUACUCCAGGUUUGAUUCAUAGUUUGUUUCAUUCAUUUCAGCGAUUUUAUACUUAAAUUUUCCUGAUAUACAAUAUUUGAAUCUUGUUCGGACUUGAUUCAAUUUUAUUAAUUACCUGAAACUAGAAAUGUGCAUCAAUGAUAAUACUGAUCAGACUGUAAAUAUGGCAGUACGGAAUAUGCGCGGACGUUCGGACAUCACCAUAAAACAUUCGACUAAGCAUAUGUCUUGUGUCCGAAACUCUUUUACCUUAGCAAACUACAAAGCAACAUUGUGUGUGUUUAUGGUCCUGCUAACCUUCACUAUCCAGGACGUGCAGGCCGUACCUUGUAGAGACGGCUGUCGGAACAAUGGUAUGAUGAUAAUGCCGACCUCAUUGUUUGGAUAUUGUCGGUGUGUGUGUGUAGGACCAUAUGCAGGACCAGCAUGUGAAUUCAAAACGAAACGACGGGUAAAAAUCCGUAAACUUAUCAAAGUGAAAGGGACAUUGCGGGAACUGAUACAACGGCGGAUGGAACAGAAAGAAUGAGGAUAUCUAUACACUGUCCAGAUCAGAGACCGGUCGUGUCUACAACAUUCCAGAAUGCCGCUAUGGAAGCCUGUCCGAUGCUACCUCCGAGGUGUCAAAACAACUAACCGAGAACGGUCUGGUGUCGACCAAUGGAUAGACCGCUGGAAAAACGCUUCGCAAGUCGGAUCGGUUGGGAGUCUCAUGAAGCAUGGUAACCAUAAAUCAUUCGUGGGAUCAUGGCAAUCGAAAUCACACGAAGAUGUUCUCUUAUGUGUUCCUUCUGUAGGAAAUGGAGCGUCUUCGCCUUUUUGUGAGACUCGUUCAAUAAUCUGGAACUGAUUUCACUUGUUCGUGAACCAACAACAUCCUCGUUCUAGCAUCAGGAGCUAACCCCGUCUGUUAAUGAACCAACAUCACCUCCCUCCUCGCAAUUAAAUUUGUCUCCGUCUACCAGUGAUCAGAAACCCUCAUUUCUAGAAACCAGUGAUCAGAAACCCGUAUUUCUAGAAACCAGUGAUCAGAAACCCGUAUUUCUAGAAACCAGUGAUCAGAAACCCUCAUUUCUAGAAACCAGUGAUCAGAAACCCUCAUUUCUAGAAACCAGUGAUCAGAAACUCUCAUUUCUAGAAGGCAGAGAUGACUUUCACUAACACUCGCCUACUUGGUGGACGUAUGUCUGUAUAGUAACGAAAUCUUCUAGCUGGAAAUAUGUCUGUAUAGUAACACCAUCCUACUGGAUGGUCACGGUUCUGUAUAGUAACACUAUCCUACUGGAUGGUCACGUGUCUGUACAGUAACACCAUCCUACUGGAUGGACACGGUGGUUCUGUACAGUAACACCAUCCUACUGGAUGGUCACGUGUCUGUACAGUAACACCAUCCUACUGGAUGGACACGGUUCUGUACAGUAACACCAUCCUACUGGAUGGUCACGUGUCUGUACAGUAACACCAUCCUACUGGAUGGUCACGUGUCUGUACAGUAACACCAUCCUACUGGAUGGUCACGUGUCUGUACAGUAACACCAUCCUACUGGAUGGUGACUGUUCUGUACAGUAACACCAUCCUACUGGAUGGUCACGUGUCUGUACAGUAACACCAUCCUACUGGAUGGUCACGUGUCUGUACAGUAACACCAUCCUACUGGAUGGUCACGUGUCUGUACAGUAACACCAUCCUACUGGAUGGUCACGUGUCUGUAUAGUAACACCAUCCUACUGGAUGGUGACUGUUCUGUACAGUAACACCAUCCUACUGGAUGGUCACGUGUCUGUAUAGUAACACAAUCCUACUGGAUGGUGACGGUUCUGUAUAGUAACACCAUCCUACUGGAUGGAGACGGUUCUGUACAGUAACACCAUCCUACUGGAUGGUGACUGUUCUGUACAGUAACACCAUCCUACUGGAUGGUGACUGUUCUGUACAGUAACACCAUCCUACUGGAUGGUCACGUGUCUCUACAGUAACACCAUCCUACUGGAUGGUGACUGUUCUGUACAGUAACACCAUCCUACUGGAUGGUGACGGUUCUGUUCAGUAACACCAUCCUACUGGAUGGUCACGUGUCUGUACAGUAACACCAUCCUACUGGAUGGUCACGUGUCUGUACAGUAACACCAUCCUACUGGAUGGUCACGUGUCUGUACAGUAACACCCAGUAACACCAUCCUACUGGAUGGUCACGUGUCUGUACAGUAACACCAUCCUACUGGAUGGUGACGGUUCUGUACAGUAACACAAUCCUACUGGAUGGUCACGUGUCUGUACAGUAACACCAUCCUACUGGAUGGUCACGGUUCUGUACAGUAACACCAUCCUACUGGAUGGUCACGAGUCUGUACAGUAACACCAUCCGGAUGGUCACGUGUCUGUACAGUAACACCAUUCUACUGGAUGGUCACGGUUCUGUACAGUAACACCAUCCUACUGGAUGGUCAUUUAGUCAUGUAGUAACCCUUAGUGGGCCAUCGACAUUCCUCUUAUAAGACCUUUUACCAGGGAGUCAAACUGUCUCUGUCUACCAGUGAUCCAGCGAGCUUAACCCUCAGUAGUGAAUUGACUAUUUUCAAUGCAAAGUUAUUUAAUGUUUUUUACAGAUUUUAUUUUUGUUAUUUUAUUCAUAAUUUAUUGAACGUUUUCAUGUUACGUGGUGUUAUGCAAUCUCAUUGUACUUUACGUAUAGAAUGACAUCAAGCAUUAAAGUGAAUCAAUGUAUA